rnacentral:rRNA from 1 species
AAAGUUCCCUUCGGGGGGCGAGUAGAGUGGCGCACGGGUGAGUAACACGUAGGUAAUCUACCUUCGGAUGGGGAAUAACAACCGGAAACGGUUGCUAAUACCGCAUAAUGCAGCGGCACCUAAUGGUGACAGUUGUUAAAGCGGGGGAUCGAAAGACCUCGCGUCUGAAGAGGAGCCUGCGGCAGAUUAGCUAGUUGGUAGGGUAACGGCUUACCAAGGCGAUGAUCUGUAGCCGGCCUGAGAGGGCGGUCGGCCACACUGACACUGACAUACGGGUCAGACUCCUACGGGAGGCAGCAGUCGGGAAUUUUGGGCAAUGGGCGAAAGCCUGACCCAGCAACGCCGCGUGAAGGAUGAAAUCCCUCGGGAUGUAAACUUCGCAAGAACGGGAAGAAUAAGCCGGUGUUAACAUCACCGGUGAUGACGGUACUGUUUGUAAGCUCCGGCUAACUCCGUGCCAGCAGCCGCGGUAAUACGGGGGGAGCAAGCGUUGUUCGGAUUUACUGGGCGUAAAGGGCGCGUAGGCGGCCACCGCAAGUCACUUGUGAAAUCUCCGGGCUUAACCCGGAAAGGUCAACUGAUACUGCGGGGCUAGAGUGCAGAAGGGGCAACUGGAAUUCUCGGUGUAGCGGUGAAAUGCGUAGAUAUCGAGAGGAACACCUGCGGCGAANGCGGGUUGCUGGGCUGACACUGACGCUGAUGUGCGAAAGCUAGGGGAGCGAACGGGAUUAGAUACCCCGGUAGUCCUAGCCUUAAACGAUGAAUGCUUGGUGUCUGGGGUUUUAUANUCCCCGGGUGCCGUCGCUAACGCUUUAAGCAUU